GUUCUAGUUGGUAGGGGUACCCUUGGCCGUAUCAUAAAUGCCAUUGGAGAGCCUAUUGAUGCCUAGGGAGAAAUUAAUACUGAGCAUUAUUUGCCCAUUCAUAGAGAAGCUCCUGCUUUUGUUGAGCAAGAAACUGCACAACAGAUUCUUGUUAUUGGAAUCAAGGUUGUUGACCUGCUUGCACCAUAUCAAAGAGGAGGAAAGAUUGGGUUGUUUGGUGGUGCUGGUGUAGGAAAAAUUGUGCUUAUUAUGGAACUUAUUAACAAUGUUGCAAAAGCUCAUGGUAUGUAUGUACACUUAGUUUAUUCUUGGUAAAA